UAAUACGUAUGGGGCAAGCGUUAUCCGGAAUUAUUGGGCGUAAAGAGUGCGUAGGUGGUUACCUAAGCGCAAGGUUUAAUCUUGAGGCUCAACCUCAUUCUGCCUUGCGAACUGGGCUACUUGAGUGCAGGAGGGGAAAGCGGAAUUCCCAGUGUAGCGGUGAAAUGCGUAGAUAUUGGGAAGAACACCGGUGGCGAAGGCGGCUUUCUGGACUGUAACUGACACUGAGGCACGAAAGCGUGGGGAGCAAACAGG
rnacentral:rRNA from 1 species